rnacentral:rRNA from 1 species
UACGUAGGGGGCUAGCGUUGUCCGGAAUCAUUGGGCGUAAAGAGCGUGUAGGCUGCUCGGUAAGUCCGCUGUAAAAGUCAAAGGCUCAACCUUUGAAUGUCAGUGGAUACUGCCGGGCUAGAGUCCGGAAGAGGCGAGUGGAACUCCUGGUGUAGCGGUGGAAUGCGCAGAUAUCAGGAGGAAUACCGGUGGCGAAGGCGGCAUCCUGGACCGACAUUGACGCUGAUGAGCGAAAGCUAGGGGAGCAAACGGG